rnacentral:rRNA from 1 species
CAGCCGCCGCGGGAAUACGAAGGGUGCAAGCGUUAAUCGGAAUUACUGGGCGUAAAGCGUGCGUAGGCGGUUUGUUAAGUCUGCUGUGAAAUCCCCGGGCUCAACCUGGGAAUGGCAGUGGAUACUGGCAAGCUAGAGUGUGUCAGAGGAUGGUGGAAUUCCCGGUGUAGCGGUGAAAUGCGUAGAGAUCGGGAGGAACAUCAGUGGCGAAGGCGACUAUCUGGGCCAACACUGACACUGAGGCACGAAAGCGUGGGGAGCAAACAGGAUUAGAUACCCGCGUAGUCCCUGUCUCUUAUAC